rnacentral:rRNA from 1 species
UGGAAAUCAUUCGCAGAGUGUAAAGGCAUAAAGGAGCUUGACUGCGAGACCUACAAGUCGAGCAGGGACGAAAGUCGGGCUUAGUGAUCCGGGGGUUCCGUAUGGAAGGGCCAUCGCUCAACGGAUAAAAGCUACCCUGGGGAUAACAGGCUUAUCUCCCCCAAGAGUUCACAUCGACGGGGAGGUUUGGCACCUCGAUGUCGGCUCAUCGCAUCCUGGG